UACAGAGGGUGCGAGCGUUGUUCGGAAUUAUUGGGCGUAAAGGGCGCGUAGGCGGUGCGGUAAGUCACCUGUGAAAUCUCCUGGCUCAACUGGGAGCUUGCAGGCGAAACUGCCGUGCUGGAGUGUGGGAGAGGAGAGUGGAAUUCCUGGUGUAGCGGUGAAAUGCGCAGAUAUCAGGAGGAACACCCGUGGCGAAAGCGGCUCUCUGGGACGGUACUGACGCUGAGACGCGAAAGCGUGGGGAGCAAACAGG
rnacentral:rRNA from 1 species